rnacentral:rRNA from 1 species
GAUGAACGCUGGCGGCGUGCCUAAUACAUGCAAGUCGAGCGAACGGACGAGAAGCUUGCUUCUCUGAUGUUAGCGGCGGACGGGUGAGUAACACGUGGAUAACCUACCUAUAAGACUGGGAUAACUUCGGGAAACCGGAGCUAAUACCGGAUAAUAUUUUGAACCGCAUGGUUCAAAAGUGAAAGACGGUCUUGCUGUCACUUAUAGAUGGAUCCGCGCUGCAUUAGCUAGUUGGUAAGGUAACGGCUUACCAAGGCAACGAUGCAUAGCCGACCUGAGAGGGGGAUCGGCCACACGGGAACUGAGACACGGUCCAGACUCCGACGGGAGGCAGCAGUAGGGAAUCUUCCGCAAUGGGCGAAAGCCUAACGGAGCAACGCCGCGUGAGUGAUGAAGGUCUUCGGAUCGUAAAACUCUGUUAUUAGGGAAGAACAUAUGUGUAAGUAACUGUGCACAUCUUGACGGUACCUAAUCAGAAAGCCACGGCUAACUACGUG